rnacentral:rRNA from 1 species
UACGGAGGAUGCGAGCGUUAUCCGGAUUUAUUGGGUUUAAAGGGUGCGCAGGCGGAUUUUUAAGUCAGCGGUCAAAUCGUGGGGCUCAACCCCAUCCAGCCGUUGAAACUGGGGAUCUAGAGUGUGCGAGAGGUAUGCGGAAUGCGUGGUGUAGCGGUGAAAUGCAUAGAUAUCACGCAGAACCCCGAUUGCGAAGGCGACCUGCUAGAACAUAACUGACGCUGAUGCGCGAAAGCGUGGGGAGCAAACAGG